AACGAACGCUAGCGGUGUGGAUUAGGCAUGCAAGUCGUGCGCGAACGUCUUCGGACAAGUAAAGCGGCGAAAGGGUGAGUAACACGUAACCAACGUACCUCUUAGAUUGGAAUAACCUCUGGAAACGGUGGGUAAUGCCAAAUGGUCUGCCGGUAGGCAUCUACUGGACAGUAAACGGCGGCUUCGGCUGUUGCUAAGAGAGCGGGUUGCGGCCUAUCAGCUUGUUGGUGGGGUAACGGCCUACCAAGGCGAUGACGGGUAGCGGGUCUGAGAGGAUGAUCCGUCACACUGGGACUGAGACACUGCCCAGACUCCUACGGGAGGCUGCAGUCGAGAAUCUUCCACAAUGGACGAAAGUCUGAUGGAGCGACACCGCGUGCAGGAUGAAGGCCUUAGGGUUGUAAACUGCUGUCACGCUAUAGGAACCGCUGGUAGUGAAUAGCUGCCAGCCUGACCAAAGCGAGAGGAAGCACCGGCUAACUCCG
rnacentral:rRNA from 1 species